AAACCAUGAUGUAGGCACCUCCGUAAGAGGUCCUUGAAUCACUCCCAUGUCUCAAACAAGAAUUCAUGCUAUAUCUAAACAAACAAUGAUAUUUCAUUAUGAAGGUU